AGUCGAGCGGUAGAGAGAAGCUUGCUUCUCUUGAGAGCGGCGGACGGGUGAGUAAUGCCUAGGAAUCUGCCUGGUAGUGGGGGAUAACGUUCGGAAACGGACGCUAAUACCGCAUACGUCCUACGGGAGAAAGCAGGGGACCUUCGGGCCUUGCGCUAUCAGAUGAGCCUAGGUCGGAUUAGCUGGUUGGUGGGGUAAUGGCUCACCAAGGCGACGAUCCGUAACUGGUCUGAGAGGAUGAUCAGUCACACUGGAACUGAGACACGGUCCAGACUCCUACGGGAGGCAGCAGUGGGGAAUAUUGGACAAUGGGCGAAAGCCUGAUCCAGCCAUGCCGCGUGUGUGAAGAAGGUCUUCGGAUUGUAAAGCACUUUAAGUUGGGAGGAAGGGUUGUAGAUUAAUACUCUGCAAUUUUGACGUUACCGACAGAAUAAGCACCGGCUAACUCUGUGCCAGCAGCCGCGGUAAUACAGAGGGUGCAAGCGUUAAUCGGAAUUACUGGGCGUAAAGCGCGCGUAGGUGGUUAGUUAAGUUGGAUGUGAAAUCCCCGGGCUCAACCUGGGAACUGCAUUCAAAACUGACUGACUAGAGUAUGGUAGAGGGUGGUGGAAUUUCCUGUGUAGCGGUGAAAUGCGUAGAUAUAGGAAGGAACACCAGUGGCGAAGGCGACCACCUGGACUGAUACUGACACUGAGGUGCGAAAGCGUGGGGAGCAAACAGGAUUAGAUACCCUGGUAGUCCACGCCGUAAACGAUGUCAACUAGCCGUUGGGAGCCUUGAGCUCUUAGUGGCGCAGCUAACGCAUUAAGUUGACCGCCUGGGGAGUACGGCCGCAAGGUUAAAACUCAAAUGAAUUGACGGGGGCCCGCACA
rnacentral:rRNA from 1 species